GGUUUGUCCCGGGGCAAUGACAAUGGUUUCGAUGGAGAAGGGCUUUACGUAGAGUGCGUCGACUUCUACAACGGUUAGUUUGUGGCCGGCGAUUUUGAAGAACAACUCUUCAUUGAGCGCAGCGUUGAUAAUGCGCAGUAGGCCCUGGAUGACCGUUUAUAGUGUGAGCAUCGGACACAUUUGGUGCCAAUCCUGACUUCAGAGCUUCGUUGAUCACAGCUUCAGUAUCCGAUUUCCACCAUUCAGCUGAAAGCAACAAUAAAACACAUAUAUAUAUAUAUAUAUAUAUAUUAUUAAUUCUUGAUUUAAUCAGACCAUAUUUGAUAUCAAUUAAUUAAGUUGAUGAUGAUGAUGAUGAUGAUUACCUAAUACAAUUGGAAUUUCUUUGUGUGGUUUGGGAAAUGGAUAAGGGACACCUCGCUUGGGGAGAAUGACUAUAGCGCCAUGGACAGUUGCCCUGAGCCAGAGAAUAUGAGCGUGCCAAAGUAGGGUUCCACGUUGCCCUGUGAGUGUGAAAUUGUACAAAUAGCUUUGUCCUGGUUGGAUUGGACAUUGUGUUAUGAACGCUGGCCCAUCUGACCACCCUGUUCGGAGUUGUCUAACUCCAUGCCUUUACACAUUAUACAUAUCAAAAUUAAAUUAAUAAAUGUAAUAACUAAAUAUAUAUAUAGUCGGAUUAAUGUAAGGUAGUCUUUUCUAUUAUUCUACUAGUAUAUGGUAUAGUCAUUGUUA